GAAAGCCGGCAACCAGUCUGGCUGCUUUCGCCAUCAUCCCAUUCUUGAACCCCAGAGUCAAUCAGGUCAGUGUUGCUACGCCUCUGAAGUGUGUGUGUGUGUGUGUGUGUGUGUGUGUGUGUGUGUGUGUACACACUACGCUAAUGCUGUGUGAAGCUGGGUGACGCAAUGGACCUACACUAACUGUCUGACAGUCAAAUUCAUGUUACAAAAAAAAAAAAAAAAACUAACUUGAAGAUUUAUUUUUUUUUUUGUAACUUUUGGAAACAAAA